rnacentral:rRNA from 1 species
UACGGAGGGAGCUAGCGUUGUUCGGAAUUACUGGGCGUAAAGGGCGCGUAGGCGGCCUACUAAGUCGGACGUGAAAUCCCUCGGCUCAACCGAGGAACUGCGUCCGAUGCUGGCAGGCUGGAAUCCGGGAGAGGGAUGUGGAAUUCCAGGUGUAGCGGUGAAAUGCGUAGAUAUCUGGAGGAACACCGGUGGCGAAGGCGGCAUCCUGGACCGGUAUUGACGCUGAGGCGCGAAAGCUAGGGGAGCAAACGGG